GAAGGUUUUGGGAAAAAUACUAAUGAUGGUAUAUUUAGACUGAUCUGGCAGUGAUAAUAAUAUAACUAUUAUCUGUCUUAUCUGUACUGUAUUGUGCUUUUUUCCAGAAAUUUUGACUUGUUUCUCAAGAGUGCUCUUUAAAAUCAUCUUUCCCAUCCCUGGUCCUAAAACUAUCACUUCCUCAGAUAUAUUUGGCUCACACACCCACCCAUGUCUCUAACACACACACAUUUCCCAGUCCAUUCAUUAUUAUUCACUUUCCUUUAAAUGGUGGUGAUGAUGAAAAGCUUCGAGGAAGUGGGGUGAGUCAAUCUUUCAGAAGAGAGUUGAUUGAUUCUUUGUUUUCUUGAUAGGAGUCUGCAUAUACAUAAGUCUAUUCUAACAUUUCUCUGAACUCUUACAGACCAUUUCUGGGACAUCUUUGGCCUUCCUUGAAACUGCAGCUACAGCAGCCGUUAAUAAAUUUCUCCUGACAUCGUGAAAAUACAGACUGGACUUCAGAGCAAAGGCAUAGUCAGAAUCAGACUUUCCAGUCUUCAGCUCUGACUGCGUUUGGUCAUGAAUCUUUAAGUUGGGGUUAAAAAAAAACAAUAAUAGACAUAAUAAUGAACCUUCCUUUCUCUCCACCUGAAAAGCCUUCAAAUGCAGAAACAUACAGAGGUAUGGGGCUGGAUUUAAAAAUGGGCACUGUUCAGAUUUGUUGGAUCUGCACUGAAAGCAAAAGAGGGGAACCAAAUCGUCUGUCAUACAUUUCCCAGAAGCCAUUGUCUGUC